ensembl:lncRNA
GGGUCUUCCUUCCCUUGUGAAGUCUCUUGUGUCCUGUAAAAUGUAAGGAACCGAUGUCCCCUGCAUUAGAGGUGGAUUCUUUUACCACUGGGCUACCAGGAAGCCCAUCAUGAUGGAUUUUUUAGCUUGGUUCACCAUCUGAACAUUUGAGAGGCCAUGAAGGAGUUGGGCCAAUUAAUGAGAGGAAGGGAGAAGCUGCGGAAGGGGGCAGCUGGAUCUCCUGCAGCCUCAAAUGUCAUCUCCCACAAGGCUGUGCAGAGCUGCAGUGAACACACACAGCAUAUGCACACACACACACACUCUCACUUACACGUAUUCAAACAUCAGCCCUCACACAAAGGUUCACACACCCGUGUUCAUGCACAGUCACGUUUGCCCACCUGAUGCUCAUCUGCCUUCACACUGACUCACUCCCACCUGUACACACACAACACACACACACAUGUGCACACGUGUGGAGACCCUGGCCGGCAGUCACAGAGAGAUCAGGGCGGGAAGAGGGGGACUUUUUCACCAGUCCCAUCGGCCCUCCUAAGGACUCUCCCUUCUUUGUAUCCUUAAUCUGGCUAAGGAGCCCAGGAAUCUCGGAACCAGUCCUCAAAAUUACCCUCUGUGAAAUCUCAGCCUCACUCUCCCUGGUGUCGGAUAUCUCUCUUGGUGUCUCCCAGGCCAAUGCUCAGUCACAGUUCUAUUUUACUAUCUGGUUGCCCCAGUAUGGUUUAGAGC